UACGGGGGAUGCAAGCGUUAUCCGGAAUCACUGGGCGUAAAGCGUCUGUAGGUGGUUUAGUAAGUCUGUUGUUAAAUAUUAGGGCUUAACCCUGAAAAAGCAUUGGAAACUACUAGACUAGAGUAUGGUAUGAGUAGAGGGAAUUCCCAGUGUAGCGGUGAAAUGCGUAGAUAUUGGGAAGAACACCAGAAGCGAAAGCGCUCUACUGGGCUAUUACUGACACUCAGAGACGAAAGCUAGGGGAGCGAAUGGG
rnacentral:rRNA from 1 species